CCCUUAGAUGUCCGGGGCCGCACGCGCGCUACACUGAAGGAAUCAGCGUGGCUUUCUCCCUGACCCGAAAGGGUUGGGAAACCCGUUGAAUCUCCUUCGUGAUAGGGAUUGGGGCUUGAAAUUGUUCCCCAUGAACGAGGAAUUCCCAGUAAGCGCGAGUCAUAAGCUCGCGUUGAUUACGUCCCUGCCCUUUGUACACACCGCCCGUCGCUACUACCGAUCGAACGAUUUUGCGAGGUAUCUGGACUGGCAUCUGCCUGGAAGGCCGUUCUUCGGGAUGGUUCGAAGGGUGUGCUUGCCGGGAAAGGGCCCAAGCAUGGUCGUUUAGAGGAAGUAAAAGUCGUAACA
rnacentral:rRNA from 1 species